UGCCGCGUGAAGGAUGAAGGCGUUCUGCGUUGUAACUCUUUGCGGGGAGAACCUGAUUUUCUAAAUCAGCCGACGGUACCCCGAGAAUAAGCACCGGCUAACUCCGUGCCAGCAGCCGCGGUAAUACGGAGGGUGCAAGCGUUAUCCGGAUUUACUGGGUUUAAAGGGUGUGUAGGCGGACUUUUAAGUCAGCGGUGAAAUCUCCGGGCUCAACCCGGAAACUGCCAUUGAUACUAUUGGUCUUGAAUGUUGUUGAGGUGGGCGGAACGGGUCAUGUAGCGGUGAAAUGCAUAGAUAUGACCCGGAACACCGAUUGCGAAGGCAGCCCACUAAGCAAUGAUUGACGCUGAGGCACGAAAGCGUGGGGAUCAAACAGGAUUAGAUACCCUGGUAGUCCACGCCCUAAACGAUGAUUACUCGACGUUGGCGAUACACUGAUCAGCGUCCAAGCGAAAGCAUUAAGUAAUCCACCUGGGAAGUACGUUCGCAAGAAUG
rnacentral:rRNA from 1 species